UACGUAGGGGGCUAGCGUUGUCCGUAAUCAUUGGGCGUAAAGAGCGUGUAGGCGGCCCGGUAAGUCCGCUGUAAAAGUCAAAGGCUCAACCUUUGAAUGUCAGUGGAUACUGCCGGGCUAGAGUCCGGAAGAGGCGAGUGGAACUCCUGGUGUAGCGGUGGAAUGCGCAGAUAUCAGGAAGAACACCAACGGCGAAGGCAGCUCGCUGGGACGGUACUGACGCUGAGACGCGAAAGCGUGGGGAGCGAACAGG
rnacentral:rRNA from 1 species